GGUCGCUGACCUCUGACCUGGACAGUCACCUUAAAGCUCACAUCUCUGCAGAUUCUGUAACUGAAAACUCAUCACCAGCUUUCAGCAGAAUUUGAGGCUGGAGUCAGCUGGUCCAACCUGGAGCAGCUGACUGAGGGGGAGGGGCUUUCAUCUGCAGGUGACCCUGGCCUCUACCUGCCCCCUCACCAUCACGAGCUCAAACUCCGGCUCAGGUCCGAUCUCGUCUGUCUUGCAGGCGUCCGCUCUGAGGCGGUGGUCCGGCAGCCCGCCGUCGUCUCCGCCGCCGUGGGCGGGGACGUGCGUCUGCCCUGCGAGCUCCAUCUGUCCGGCGAGAGCCUGAAGACCACGCCCGUGUUCUACUGGAGUCUCUGGAGAGGAGAGGAGAAGGGGGUGGAGAGGUGGCCGACCAGAGCGACGGCCGGACGCCCACCGGGCAGCCGCUGCUGCUCAGAGGCGUCAGCUGGGCCGACGGCGGGAGCUACCUCUGUAAGGUCUCGCUCCGGACGGAUCAGAACGGAAGCUACAGGAAAAACGGGAACAAAACCAAACUCCUGCUUUACGAUGAGCUGCUCUUCAAGCGCUGCAUGAACCAGACGCAGCUCUGCUGCCAAGGGAACGUGACGCAGGACGCCGCCUUCUCGCUGUCCGUCCUCCAUGAUGGGCAGACGCUCCCAGCAGACGCAGCUGCAGUCGCAGACGCAGCUGCAGCUCAGGCCCAGGCCUUCACCUUGUCCAGGGUCGCCCCUCUGCAGGGGGCCGGGAGGUACGAGUGCCAGCUGCUCCUCGGAGGAGGUCUGAUGACGAAGAGCCUCCUCAUCCUCAAUGAGACCGGUAAUCCUCCUUCUACCUCCGAGAUGAACACGCCCACAGAACACGGUUCUGGUGAAGCAGAACUGAACCAGAAUCCCUGCAGAGCACAAAUAUCUCUGGAGAGCUUCUCUAACGCGGCUGUUUUCUUCUCAGAGGCCGGAGGGGGCGGAGCCAACACGACCUCCAGCCUUCCCUCUGUGGGCGUGAACCCGGAGCCGUGGCUGCUGUACGGGACGGUGCUGCUGGUCCCCGUGGCGGUGCUGCUGGUCCUGCUGACGGUGCAGAUGAGCAGCCGGCUGAAGGAACCUCCAGAGGAGGAGUGCUGAAGGAAUCUGUGGACCGACCGGUCAGUCUGAAACCAGGGGGGAGGAGCUUAACGUCCCGUUCUCCUCCUGAACCAGAUGAACUCUGACCUGUGAGACCUCUGACGGUCUCUGCUCUCAUCAAAGUGACUUCAGUUCCAGGAGGCAUCUUCACCCACGAGUCAGAAGCUCCAGCAGUAAACAUAAGAACGUUGUAAUGUUUCAAAAUUGUAAUGAGAAAAAUUAAAUUAUUAAGUCUACAUUUAAUGUGUUUAAACUCAAGAAUCCAUGUUUGUUUUUAUGUUUAUAAGAGAGAAAAAAGUAAAACAUCAAUAAAUGAACGAAUAAAAUAAUCCAAUAAAUGAUCCUUCAGUGAAGCAGCAUGGCGAGAACGAGACAGUAGACCCCGCCCACAUCGCCUCUCUCUGACCCUUCAGGAUGUUUUGAUUCGUUAAAAGUUUCUUAAACUUCACGUGUUUGAAUUUGCAGCAUGAACAGUUAAAUGUGUUUUCACCUAUACACAAUUUGAAUUAAAAACAUAUUUGUUUGUUAUUCUCUUAUGACUUUAAGUGUUAUGAUUUGAUAAGCCACGCCCAC
ensembl:lncRNA